rnacentral:lncRNA from 1 species
GCGCCUACAGCUUCGUUGAUACAGCCGGAUAUACGAACGAAGUGUACCCGUACCUAUCAGGCUGUUUUCUGUCUCUCUCGCACACUGACGCGUCCCGCCAGGCGAUUUUCUGUCUCUCUCGCAUACUUUAGCGGGCUCCCUGGCUGUUUUCGGUCUCUUUCGCACAUUGACGCGUCCUGCCAGACGAUUUUCUGUCUCUCUCGCACACUUACGCUAAGCCCGCCUGGCGAUUUUCUGUCUCUCUCGCACACUUUAGCGGGCUCCCUGGCUGUUUUCUGUCUCUCUCGCACACUGACGCGUCCCGCCAGGCGAUUUUCUGUCUCUCUCGCACACUUUAGCGGGCUCCCUGGCUGUUUUCUGUCUCUCUCGCACACUGACGCGUCCCGCCAGGCGAUUUUCUGUCUCUCUCGCACACUUACGCUGAGGCCGCCUGGCGAUUGUCUGUCUCUCUCGCACACUUUAGCGGGCUCCCCGGCGAUUAUCGGUCUCUCUCGCACAUUGACGCGUCCCGCCAUGCGAUUUUCUGUCUCUCUCGCACACUUUAGCGGCUCCCUGGCUCUUUUCUGUCUCUCUCGCACACUGACGCGUCCCGCCUGGCGAUUUUCUGUCUCUCUCGCACACUUUAGCGGGCUCCCUGGCUGUUUUCUGUCUCUCUCGCACACUUACGCUAAGCCCGCCUGGCGAUUUUCUGUUCCUCUUGCACACUUUAGCGGGCUCCCUGGCUGUUUUCUGUCUCUGUCGCACACUGACACGUCCCGCCAGGCGAUUUUUUGUCUCUCUGGCACAUUUCAGCGGGCUCCCUGGCUGUUUUCUAUCUUGCUCGCACAACCAUCUUUUUGCACGUACCCUGUUACCAAAUUGGAAAUUCAUCGGAAUUACAAGCUAUGUCGGUCGGCCUUAUGGAAGUACUCUAAUGGAAGUUUCACGAUUCAAUUGUAAAUCAGUGGAAAUUUUCAUUAAAAAUUUCUCGCGGGUAGAAAAAAUUAAUGAUUAGAGCUUUCAAAAUAAUUAAUUAAUUACUUUGCAUAGUCAUUCAACAGUCUUCAAGUUGGCAUUACAGGGAUAGAAAUAGUGAGGAAAGUUUUCAUGUUGAUGUGAUGUGUAAAACUAAUUGUAUAUCUAGUGAAAUGCAGGCGUUUUUUUUGCUCUUUCUCCAUAACUUCAUGAUUCAUCUGAACUAUUCAAAUUGCACUUUACUGAGAGGAGAGGACAGCGCUUAUAUAGACACACUUUUGCUCAGAGCAUUUUGCUCUGCAAUAUGCUUGCACAGGGCCGAAUUAAGGGGGUAGCCACAUGGGCCGCGGUCCAUGGCGGCAAAUCGAGGGGGCGGCAAAUUUUGCAAUUUUUUUAAAUGUAGGUAUAAAAAAAA